rnacentral:rRNA from 1 species
AGCGAACGUUUGCGGCGGGCCUAACACAUGCAAGUCGAACGAGAAUCUCUUCGGAGAGGAAAGUGGCGCACGGGUGCGUAACACGUGGAUAACCAACCCCUGCUUGUCGGGAUAACGCUGGGAAACCGGCGCUAAUACCGGGUGUGUCCGAGGUGUCAUCAGGCGCUUCGGAGAAAGACACGCAAGGGUCGCCAGGGGACGGGUCCGCGUCCCAUCAGCUAGUUGGUGAGGUAAUGGCUCACCAAGGCAAAGACGGGUAGCUGGUCUGAGAGGAUGAUCAGCCACACUGGAACUGAAACACGGUCCAGACUCCUACGGGAGGCAGCAGUGGGGAAUAUUGCGCAAUGGGCGGAAGCCUGACGCAGCCACGCCGCGUGAGCGAUGAAGGUCUUAGGAUCGUAAAGCUCUGUGGAGGGAGAAGAAGAAAGCCGGUGAAGAGCCGGCCUUGACGGUAUCCCUUUAGCAAGCACCGGCUAACUCCGUGCCAGCAGCCGCGGUAAUACGGAGGGUGCAAACGUUGCUCGGAAUCAUUGGGCGUAAAGCGCGCGUAGGCGGCGAGGCAAGUUGGAUGUGAAAGCCCUGGGCUCAACCCAGGAAGUGCAUCCAAAAUCUGCCUUGCUUGAAUCUCGGAGGGGGCUCAGGGAAUUCCCGGU